GAGAGCUGGCCUUGGGGAAACGAUCACAGCAGUGUGUGGUGAAACGGAGCAGGAUCAUUACUCACACACAGCACCCCCAGCUGUGGAGGAGGAACUGUGUGUCAGUGGAGCCAUGUUUCUGCCGUAUAGCCGCAGCACCUAAAUCACUCAGAAUAACAAAACAGGAAGUCCCCGAUAUUUACAAACACCUGUGGCCAAGUCAGCACACACACUUUUACAUCUUAGGCCCUUUUCAAAUGAAUGUGCUUUGGAAACACAUAUUUGUUGUGCGCUGAUGUAAUGUUGACCAACAGUUUUGGAUGAAAGUUUGAGGGACAACACAAACAUUUGAAAAAGAGGAGGAUGCUGAGAGAGGGAGAGAGAGAGAGAGAGAGAAAUGAGAACAUGCAGAAAGAGGAAAUGGAGGGAGGGGUGAGCGCAGGAAUGAUUGGGUACAAAAGAGCCAAGUGUUGAUUAAAUACAGCUGUGGAGGGAGCAAGGGAGAGAAGUAGAUGACAGAGAUAGAGAAAGAGAGAGAGACUGAGGCAGGAUGGUGAGGAGGGGUAGAGGGAUUCAAAGAAAGGUGUGUGCUAGAGACCAGAAAAAGAGAGCAUUCUCAUGGACCAGGCCAGCUGAAACCACGACUAUCCACCAGGAAAUGAAAUGGCGUAUGAGACCACAACAACUAUUGCUGGGAAGUGAGGGAAGCCGCAGCUCUGCAGGGCUUCAGGCUAAGCUGAUUCUGCCACCUCAUGAAGUCGAUGAGCCUGGCAUAUAGCUCUCAGUAAGAAGCAUUUUAUAACACCUGAAGUGAUCACAGUAGGAAAAUGCUCCAGAAUGCUAUCAUCUAAAAGACAGCCAGCUGCCAACAUCUGCCAAGCGCUUUUUGGCAGGGACCUAGGCAGACAUAAUUCUCAAUAUCUGCUAAUGGUAAAUGGAGGCUUUCAAGAAGGGAAACAGAGGGGAGAGAGACAACACAUCGACCAGAUUAAUUAUGAACUGAGUGGAAAAGAAAGGAUUUACAUAGCAUUUAACAGAUGUUGUCUGGACUUUUGAACCUUUUUUUAUUAUUCGGAUUGCUGCUGCAAAAAAAUAAAAAAUGGUAAGCAGGAAGAAGGAAAGAAGUCAUAUGAGAAAAGCUGAAGAGACUGCUUAAAAUAGAUAAAGAAAACAAAGACUGCAUGGUCAAAAAAAGAGAGGAAAGAUAAAUAGACAGACGGGAAGAUGAGAAUCUUAAGUGCACACUUGGUCCUGCAUUGGCUUAAGCAAAGCAGCUACAAGCAAUUGCAGAUGAAAACAAAAUAAAUUAAAUGCUUCAACAAAACAACAAACAGCAAAGUCCACAUUCCUGCGGUUAAUACAACAUGUGAUUUAUGUAAUAAAUAUUGGUUCAUA